rnacentral:rRNA from 1 species
CUAGUAUAGCACUUUAUACUGUGAAACUGCGAAUGGCUCAUUAAAUCAGUUAUCGUUUAUUUGAUAGUACCUUACUACAUGGAUACCUGUGGUAAUUCUAGAGCUAAUACAUGCUAAAAACCCCGACUUCGGAAGGGGUGUAUUUAUUAGAUAAAAAACCAAUGCCCUUCGGGGCUCCUUGGUGAUUCAUAAUAACUUAACGAAUCGCAUGGCCUUGCGCCGGCGAUGGUUCAUUCAAAUUUCUGCCCUAUCAACUUUCGAUGGUAGGAUAGUGGCCUACCAUGGUGGCAACGGGUAACGGGGAAUUAGGGUUCGAUUCCGGAGAGGGAGCCUGAGAAACGGCUACCACAUCCAAGGAAGGCAGCAGGCGCGCAAAUUACCCAAUCCCGACACGGGGAGGUAGUGACAAUAAAUACUGAUACGGGGCUCUUUCGGGUCUCGUAAUUGGAAUGAGUACAAUCUAAAUCCCUUAACGAGGAACAAUUGGAGGGCAAGUCUGGUGCCAGCAGCCGCGGUAAUUCCAGCUCCAAUAGCGUAUAUUAAAGUUGUUGCAGUUAAAAAGCUCGUAGUUGAACCUUGGGUCUGGCUGGCCGGUCCGCCUCACCGCGAGUACUGGUCCGGCUGGACCUUUCCUUCUGGGGAAUCCCAUGGCCUUCACUGGCUGUGGGGGGAACCAGGACUUUUACUGUGAAAAAAUUAGAGUGUUCAAAGCAGGCCUUUGCUCGAAUACAUUAGCAUGGAAUAAUAGAAUAGGACGUGCGGUUCUAUUUUGUUGGUUUCUAGGACCGCCGUAAUGAUUAAUAGGGAUAGUCGGGGGCGUCAGUAUUCAGCUGUCAGAGGUGAAAUUCUUGGAUUUGCUGAAGACUAACUACUGCGAAAGCAUUCGCCAAGGAUGUUUUCAUUAAUCAGGGAACGAAAGUUAGGGGAUCGAAGACGAUCAGAUACCGUCGUAGUCUUAACCAUAAACUAUGCCGACUAGGGAUCGGGCGGUGUUUCUAUGAUGACCCGCUCGGCCCUUACAAGAAUCAAAGUUUUUGGGUUCU